UUUCUGCCCCAACUGUGUUACCAUGUUCAGUAUACAGUAAAGUGUGUUACCAUAUUCAGUAUACAGUAAUAUGUUACUGUGUUUGAUGUACAGUAACCAUUGACACUUUGAUUUAGUGGAGCUCAGAGAUAUUACAACAGUUCAGAAGCAGCUUAUUAGCAAAGCUGCAGCACAAAACCACAACCAACACAACUGCUGACCUGAUGUAGAUGAGUGUGUGUGUGUGUGUGUGUGUUUGCAUAUUGAGUGCUGUGAGUGUUUAUAGUGCUGUGAGUUAAACACUUCAUCACUGACGCAAACAACAAUUUUCAUCAUCAUGACCUUCAUCAUGAUCUUCAUCUGGACUCUCACAGUGUUUGCUCGAGAGUGUGGAGGACAGAUCAGCGUCACUCAGAGUCCCUCAAUGACAGCAGAACCAGACCAAACCGUCACAAUCACCUGCAGAACCAGUAGAGAUGUGUACAGAUAUGAUGAUGGAGAUGAUGCUUUUUUCUGGUAUUUACAGAAACUUGGAGAAGCUCCUAAACUUCUGGUUCGUUAUGCAAAAAGUCUGGAAUCAGAAACUCCGUCUAGAUUCAGUGGCAGAGGAUCUAACAGUGAUUUCACUCUGAGCAUCAAUGGAGUCCAGACUGAAGAUGCUGGACAUUAUUACUGUCAGAGUUUCCACUGCAGAACAGAUUCGAACAAUAACUGUGUGGGUGAUGUUGUGUUGACACAGUGAUAAAGAGUGAUACAAAAACCUCCGUCAGUCAGUCAGAGUCACAGAGACUGAACUGAUCCUGGAGCAGCUCAAACACUGAACACAAAUUAAACACUGAACUCAAUCUGACU